UGCCGCCGCCGCCGCCGUCACAAGUCCUCGGCUGACCUCCGGAGGGAUGCUCUGCAGUGCGGCACAGUGAGGCCCCCUGACUUCAUCGCGGGAGACUUUAGUGGGGGCGCCUCAGUAUCCCCAUAGCAUGGAGGGGGGAGGUCCCUGAACAGACAGCGUCCUGACCUUCUGCGGGAGCGCCCGCGCUGUGCCCAUCUCUUGGUCCUUGGUCGUCUCCAAUAUUUCUUCAUCUCCCUCCCCGCAAUGCCCGACUCCCAACAGGUAUAGGUAGGCCUUAAGGGUUAACAUUCAGUCUGUAUAGACGUCUCUUUCUCUCUCUCUCUCUCUUUUGCCUUGAAGUAUCAAAAUUUUAUACGCUUAUUAUGCCAUAAUUGAAAGAGCAUAAAAUAUUGCUAGUGGUACUUCCAGACUCCUUCCUGUAUAUUUUAUAAAGUCCCAGGAAGACGUACUGAAUGUGUGAUCUCUCUCUACGCAGUGCCAUCGCUCAUUGGGGUGGGGGUCAGCUGUUAUCCUGAGGAAUGUUAUUUUUCUAAUGAAUACAGCCAGCAGCAAAGGAGAUCCAAGAUGAAGACAAUAUUCCGAGGGAAAACAUAAAAAUAAAUGGAAAUACAGAUAUGAAAGGGGAAAGGAGAGAACAAGAACUGUGUGUUGGUAAACUGUGUGUUGCUGAACUGGAAUAAGAGAUCAGUAUGAAUUUAACACUAUUUUACUUUUUCAAGAUUUAUUUAUUCUAAUAAGUGAAUUUAUGUUUUUUAAAAAUAUAUCUUCUACAUCUGCAAAGAUAUCCCAGAAGCAAGAAAGCCCAGAUCCUGGCUUCUAAGUAUCAUUUUCCACUAAAAGCAAGCUGUUUCUUUGAAGAGUGGCUGAUCCCAGGCUGAGACUGGGAAGUGCAAGUCAAGCCUGCAACAUCUGAUUACACCAGGAAUUAAAGAGCUCAAUGCCAGGCAUGGUGGGCAUGCCUUGUAAUCCUAGAGACUCUGGAGGCUGAGUCAGGAGGAUCACAAGUUCUAGGUCAGCUCUGUUAACUUAGUAAGACCCUUUCUCAAAAUAAAAAUUAAAAAGGGCUGGAGAUAUAGCUCAGUCAUAGAGCACCCUAGUAUUCCAUCCCAGGUACCGCAAAAAUAAGUAAAUAAAGGGGAGCUAAAAAAAAAUGAUGAGGAUGUACCAAAAGAGCACAAUAGCCAGCUCGAAGAAGCUCCCAGCCAAAUUUGGAACAAUUUGAGCAUCAAAAGGAAUAAUGUCCCAAUUGCCGUAUCCUGAGCUGCUUUGUUCUGCCACAUCCUUCCACCAUGAUGUUCUGCCCAACCUCGAGCCCAGAACUACCAGCAAAUCAUGGACUGAAUCUGUAAACUGGGAGCUGAAAUAAACAUUUCCUUCUCUGUGUUGUUCUUGUCAGUCUUUUGGUCACAGCCAUGAAAAGCUGACUAAACAGAUGCCCUUUUCAUGUAAAUUUCAGUCCUCAAGUCAAAGCCAGACAAGCACAUGGAAUCCAAAGCAGUCAUGACCUCUUUUUUCGCCACUUGCCUGAGAACUUAACCUUUCACCUGGAGAUACCAACAGAUACCAGGACAAAGUGCCCAGGACAAAGACUCUGGAGGACAGGUGCAAAUGGAACUCCUUUUGUCUCCUGCAGCCUAGCCACAAAGUUGGGAGGAUGGACAUCUGGUGUAUGUAACAAGCAUCCAAACAACUAGGGAACAUCAGUGUCACAACCAGAGCUGAAGGGAAUCUUAGCUCACCUCCUUUUUUGAUAGAUGGGUAAACAGAGGCCAGUGACCGUGGUGGCUUUCUUGAGAUCACCCAACUGACACCCAAUGAUGGUGAACCUGUCAUGACCUGGUUUCCUGGCUCCCAGGCCACUAUUUGCUCCCUGAUACCAUGGCACCUUUGUAUACAUUCCUGACACUGCUCCAGUGCUUCAGCCAGCCUCUCAUGGCGCAUCACAGCCUCCACUGCCUGUGCCAACCUGCCUGAGCAGCUUCCAGGACUGUCCCACAAGGGCAAAUGAUUAAUGUACUUGUAAACUGACUGAUCUGCAAACAUGACCAUGGGCCUGUGGAAUGAGUGAGUGGCUUCUACAUUUGGUCACCCAGGAGCCCUUCCUUAUGUUGGGCAGAUGAAAUUUAAAAAAAAAAAAAAAAAACCCCAAGGCUCUUUCAUUCCCUCAAAA